GGAGGGGUGGUCGAGUGGUUGAUGGCUCUGGUCUUGAAAACCAGCGAAGUGAAAGCUUCCGCGGGUUCGAAUCCCGCCCCCUCCG
rfam:Synechococcus sp. Tous Synechococcus-sp-Tous-C2, whole genome shotgun sequence.